UGCUGUUACAGCAACUUCUGUUGCCCUUGUGGAAGAGUUGCUUUUCAGAUCAUGGUUAAUUGAAGACAUUGCUGCUGAUCUUGGAUAUCACCCGGGAAUUAUUUUGUCAGGGCUUGCAUUCUCCCUGUUCUGGAGGUCUCCAUGGGCAAUACCUGGGCUGUGGCUCUUAUCACUAAGCUUGGCCGGGCUUCGACAAAUCGGUGAAGGUAGCCUGUGUUCCAAUUGGGCUCCGCACAGGGAUAUUAGUCUCAAGUUGCACUCUCCAAUCAAGUGGCUUUUUGAUCUACAACCCCAACUUCCCCAUUUGGAUAACGGGGACUCAUCCUUUCCAACCAUUCGGCAGGAUAGUUGGCCUUACAUUCUCUUUGGUGCUGGCAAUUAUGUUCUAUCCAAGAGAAGCCGCCAUGAAAAAGGAACUUACGAGACCCAUAUGGGAGUAGCUACAUGACUAGUGGAUUGAUGCACGAUUUGGAGGACUGCUGUGAUGGGAGUGACGAAUACGGUGAUAAAGUGAACUGCCCGAAUACAUGUCGGGAAGCUGGAAAAGCAGCACGAGAUGAGCUGAAGAAAAAAAUUGCUGUGUACCAGGAGGGUGUUGCCAUAUGUAAACAGGAGGUGGAACGGGCUAAAGUAGCUCUUGCAAAAGACAAGAAUUGUCAAAACUGAAAAGUGAGGAGUGCAGUUUGAACAGCUUAAAGUAAUAAACCAAAGCCUGCAUAUCUUUCAAAGAUUUUGAUUGCACUUUUAAGCUAUGGCGGGGUCCCUAAUGAAUUUCUUUUGGACAUGGUGGAGAAUGCUCUGGGAGAUGCAAAUAGUGUCAUCUCUAGUAAACGAGCAGCUCUAAGAGUUUAGGUGAAUCAUGCCAAGAAGGAUGGUUUGACUGCAGCUAGAAUGAUCUUAUCUGGGAUUCCUUUGGACGAAACAUACCUACAGAAUCGUCUGUCCAUCCUGAUGAACGAUGAAAAGAAGAGUUUGAAAGGAGGAAGGAUUCCUAUUCCAGAUUCUUACUAUCUAAUGGGGACAGCCGAUCCCACAGGAAUUCUUAAAAGUGCUAAAGAAUAACUGUAGCUAUGCUUGUCUGGGGCUUAGAUGUUUAAUUUAGUUACAUGCCUCCAUAUCUGGUCCUUGGAUUUAGACAUCAAUGGUGUUAUAUUGCUUUGAUGACAACCCAUCUCUGGUUCUGUUCUUGUUAACCCACGUUUGAGUUUGAUAUUCACAACUUUGGGGAAAAGGUGUAAUUACCUAUUGGGCUUUGAUGUUAUAAUGCUGUUUCGGGUGUCUUUACUAUUUAAUAGUUUGCUUGAAUCAUCAAUGCAGUGACAGUGGACAAAUUUCAGGGAAGGUAUUAGUAUACUGCAAUCCUGGUUUGCACUUCGGGGAUAUUCUUGUUUUGAACGCUACAUAUGUGGAAGCUCUGGAAACAAAAGUUGGAAAUUCAAAGUAUGCUAUAUUUUUCCCUACUAGUGGACUGCGCUCCUUGGCUGAUGAAAUAGCUGGUGGGGAUUUCGAUGGGGAUAUGUAUUGGGUUUCACGUAGCCCUCAGGUUGGGAUAUGUAUUCGAAUGCUUGGUGGCUCCCAUUUUCCAAGCAAGAGGUCUUUGAGUGGAGGGAAUUCUGUUGUAACACCUGAAGUUCAGCCAUCGGAAGGUAAGCCAGAUCUGUCCCCAGGAGAGGACCCAUGCACCAUCAAGCCUGGUUGCCCAAGAUAUAUCACUUGCUACUGAAGUCACCGAGGGGACGAUUAGGAACUCCAAGGAUCUGUAUCCUCACAUUUCAAAGAUUAAUACCAAGCUGAUAUGCCAAGAAAGAGGAUCUAAAGAAUUUCUGCAGCUUUUGAGUGUGUAGAUAUACAAUCAAAAUCGACAUUACUUAACUUUCAGUUAGUUUUGCAAAUCAGAACAAUAUUGAAUUUGUAAUUAUUGUUAUAAAGAAUAAGGUGGUUCUUAAUUCUCACUCUUUGUAUUGUUAGA